rnacentral:rRNA from 1 species
CAGUAGCCGCGGUAAUACGAAGGGUGCAAGCGUUACUCGGAAUUACUGGGCGUAAAGCGUGCGUAGGUGGUGGUUUAAGUCCGUUGUGAAAGCCCUGGGCUCAACCUGGGAAUUGCAGUGGAUACUGGGUCACUAGAGUGUGGUAGAGGAUAGUGGAAUUUCCGGUGUAGCAGUGAAAUGCGUAGAGAUCGGAAGGAACAUCUGUGGCGAAGGCGACUAUCUGGGCCAACACUGACACUGAGGCACGAAAGUGUGGGGAGCAAACAGGAUUAGAUACCCCUGUAGUCCCUGUCUCUUAUAC